rnacentral:rRNA from 1 species
UACAGAGGUGGCAAGCGUUGUUCGGAAUUACUGGGCGUAAAGGGCGAGUAGGUGGCCAUCUAAGUCAGACGUGAAAUCCCCCGGCUUAACCUGGGAACUGCGUCUGAUACUGGACGGCUAGAGUUUGGGAGAGGGAUGCAGAAUUCCAGGUGUAGCGGUGAAAUGCGUAGAUAUCGGAAGGAACAUCAGUGGCGAAAGCGGCUUCCUGGACCAGUACCGACGUUCAGGCACGAAAGCGUGGGGAGCAAACAGG